rnacentral:rRNA from 1 species
UAAUGUAUGGGGAUCUGCCCGGAUAGAGGGGGAUAACUACUGGAAACGGUGGCAAUACCGCAUAAUGUCUACGGACCAAAGCAGGGGCUCUUCGGGACCUUGCACUAUCGGAUGAACCCAUAUGGGAUUAGCUAGUAGGUGGGGUAAAGGCUCACCUAGGCGACGAUCUCUAGCUGGUCUGAGAGGAUGAUCAGCCACACUGGGACUGAGACACGGCCCAG